rnacentral:rRNA from 1 species
GACGUAGGAGGCGAGCGUUGUCCGGAUUCAUUGGGCGUAAAGAGCACGCAGGCGGUUUGGCAAGUCGGAUGUGAAAACCCGAAGCUCAACUUCGGGCCUGCAUCCGAAACUGCCCGACUAGAGGCAGGUGGAAUUCCGGGUGUAGCGGUGGAAUGCGUAGAGAUCCGGAAGAACACCGGUGGCGAAGGCGGCCUGCUGGGCAGUAGCUGACGCUGAUGCGCGACAGCGUGGGGAGCAAACAGG